rnacentral:rRNA from 1 species
AUUGAACGCUGGCGGCAUGCCUUACACAUGCAAGUCGAACGGUAACGGGCCUUCGGGUGCCGACGAGUGGCGAACGGGUGAGUAAUACAUCGGAACGUGCCCGAUCGUGGGGGAUAACGAGGCGAAAGCUUUGCUAAUACCGCAUACGAUCUACGGAUGAAAGCAGGGGACCGCAAGGCCUUGCGCGGACGGAGCGGCCGAUGGCAGAUUAGGUAGUUGGUGGGAUAAAAGCUUACCAAGCCGACGAUCUGUAGCUGGUCUGAGAGGAUGAUCAGCCACACUGGGACUGAGACACGGCCCAGACUCCUACGGGAGGCAGCAGUGGGGAAUUUUGGACAAUGGGCGCAAGCCUGAUCCAGCCAUGCCGCGUGCGGGAUGAAGGCCUUCGGGUUGUAAACUGCUUUUGUACGGAACGAAAAGCCUUCUUUUAAUACAGGAGUGUCAUGACGGUACCGUAAGAAUAAGCACCGGCUAACUACGUG